GGCUUGGUCCUGACUUUACUAUCAGCUUUAGCUAGAUUUAUACAUGCAAGUUUCAGCCACCCCGUGAGAACGCCCUUCCCCCAUAUCCUGGACUAAGGAGCCGGUAUCAGGCACUUAUUAUUAGCCCACGACACCUAGCGCAGCCACACCCUCAAGGGAUUUCAGCAGUAAUAAAUAUUAAGCCAUAAGCGAAAGCUUGACUCAGUUAAAGCUAACAGAGCCGGUUAAUGCUCGUGCCAGCCACCGCGGUUAUACGAGUGGCUCAAGUUGAUAGUCCGCGGCGUAAAGGGUGGUUAAGGAGUAUAUAGAAAUAAGGUCGAACCCCCGCACAGCUGUGAUACGCACCCGAGAGUGUGAAGCCCAACUACGAAAGUGACUUUAAAGUACCUGAACCCACGAAAGCUGAGAAACAAACUGGGAUUAGAUACCCCACUAUGCUCAGCCCUAAACCUAGAGUAAACUUUACCCAACAAUCUCCGCCUGGGGACUACGAGCAUAAGCUUAGAACCCGAAGGACUUGGCGGUGCUUUACAUCCAUCUAGAGGAGCCUGUUCUACAACCGAUGAUCCCCGUUAAACCUCACCUCUGCUUGCUCUUUACCCGCCUAUAUACCUCCGUCGUCAGCUUACCCUGUGAAGGUAUAAUAGUAAGCUAAAUUGGCUAACCCCCCAAAAAGUCAGGUCGAGGUGUAGCGAAUGCAGAGGGAAGAAAUGGGCUACAUUUGCUUUACAAGCAAACACGAAUGCUAUAAUGAAAUACAUAGCUGAAGGAGGAUUUAGCAGUAAGCAGAAAAUAGAGUGUUCUGCUGAAGAAGGUUCUAAAGCGCGUACAUACCGCCCGUCACCCUCACCAAGCACUUGGAUAUAAACUUCAUAAGAAUUCUCCAGCAGCAAAGGAGAGGAAAGUCGUAACAUGGUAAGUGUACCGGAAGGUGCACUUGGUUAAAU
rnacentral:ncRNA from 1 species